rnacentral:rRNA from 1 species
UAAGGAAUAUUGGUCAAUGGACGCAAGUCUGAACCAGCCAUGCCGCGUGAAGGAUGAAGGUCCUCUGGAUUGUAAACUUCUUUUAUCUGGGACGAAAACGGGAUUUUUAUCUCAAUUGACGGUACCAGUGGAAUAAGCACCGGCUAACUCCGUGCCAGCAGCCGCGGUAAUACGGAGGGUGCGAGCGUUAUCCGGAUUUACUGGGUUUAAAGGGUGCGUAGGUGGGCAGGUAAGUCAGUGGUGAAAUCUCCGGGCUUAACCCGGAAACUGCCGUUGAUACUAUUUGUCUUGAAUAUUGUGGAGGUAAGCGGAAUAUGUCAUGUAGCGGUGAAAUGCUUAGAUAUGACAUAGAACACCAAUUGCGAAGGCAGCUUACUACACAAUCAUUGACGCUGAGGCACGAAAGCGUGGGGAUCAAACA